rnacentral:rRNA from 1 species
ACGGGUGAGUAAUGCCUAGGAAUCUGCCUGGUAGUGGGGGAUAACGUUCGGAAACGGACGCUAAUACCGCAUACGUCCUACGGGAGAAAGCAGGGGACCUUAGGGCCUUGCGCUAUCAGAUGAGCCUAGGUCGGAUUAGCUAGUUGGUGAGGUAAUGGCUCACCAAGGCGACGAUCCGUAACUGGUCUGAGAGGAUGAUCAGUCACACUGGAACUGAGACACGGUCCAGACUCCUACGGGAGGCAGCAGUGGGGAAUAUUGGACAAUGGGCGAAAGCCUGAUCCAGCCAUGCCGCGUGUGUGAAGAAGGUCUUCGGAUUGUAAAGCACUUUAAGUUGGGAGGAAGGGCAGUUACCUAAUACGUGAUUGUUUUGACGUUACCGACAGAAUAAGCACCGGCUAACUCUGUGCCAGCAGCCGCGGUAAUACAGAGGGUGCAAGCGUUAAUCGGAAUUACUGGGCGUAAAGCGCGCGUAGGUGGUUUGUUAAGUUGGAUGUGAAAUCCCCGGGCUCAACCUGGGAACUGCAUUCAAAACUGACUGACUAGAGUAUGGUAGAGGGUGGUGGAAUUUCCUGUGUAGCGGUG